AGAAUCUAAAGUAUGUUUUCAAUGUUGAUAAGUUUAGGAUAGGUAUUGUAACAAUACAUUUAUGUUGGAAUUAUAGACUAGAUAUCCUUUAAAGUUACUAGCUUCUGAAUUUAAGUCAUCCAGUUCGCUUAAGUCACUAAACCGAUCACGUCAGUACAGACCGAUACUAAUAUAUGGGUCGGUUAUUUAGGACCCUCAGACAGCUGCAGG